rnacentral:rRNA from 2 species
UAAAACUUUCAACAACGGAUCUCUUGGUUCCGGCAUCGAUGAAGAACGCAGCGAAAUGCGAUACGUAAUGUGAAUUGCAAAUUCAGUGAAUCAUCGAGUCUUUGAACGCACAUUGCGCCCCCUGGUAUUCCGGGGGGCAUGCCUGUCCGAGCGUCAUU